CCUACGGGAGGCAGCAGUGAGGAAUAUUGGUCAAUGGACGCAAGCCUGAACCAGCAAUGCCGCGUGCAGGAUGACGGCUCUAUGAGUUGUAAACUGCUUUUGUACGAGGGUAAACACCGAUACGUGUAUCGGGUUGAAAGUAUCGUACGAAUAAGCAUCGGCCAACUACGUGCCAGCAGCGGCGGUAAUACGGAGGAUCCGAUCGUUGUCCGGAUUUAUUGGGGGUAAAGGGUGCGUAGGCGGGUUGAUAAGUUAGAGGUGAAAUGUCGGGGCUCAACCCCGGAACUGCCUCUGAUACUGUUGGACUAGAGAAUAGUUGAGGUAGGCGGAAUGUAUGGUGUAGCGGUGAAAUGCUUAGAGAUCAUACAGAACACCGAUGGCGAAGGCAGCUUACCAAACUAUAUCUGACGUUGAGGCACGAAAGCGUGGGUAGCAAACAGGAUUAGAUACCCUUGUAGUC
rnacentral:rRNA from 1 species